rnacentral:rRNA from 1 species
ACCGGUGCUUGCACUGGUCAAUCUAGUGGCGAACGGGUGAGUAACACGUGGGUAACCUGCCCAUCAGAGGGGGAUAACACUCGGAAACGGAUGCUAAAACCGCAUAGGUCUUCGAACUGCAUGGUUUGAAGAGGAAAAGAGGCGCAAGCUUCUGCUGAUGGAUGGACCCGCGGUGCAUUAGCUAGUUGGUGAGGUAACGGCUCACCAAGGCCGUGAUGCAUAGCCGACCUGAGAGGGUGAUCGGCCACAUUGGGACUGAGACACGGCCCAAACUCCUACGGGAGGCAGCAGUAGGGAAUCUUCCGCAAUGGACGCAAGUCUGACGGAGCAACGCCGCGUGAGUGAAGAAGGUUUUCGGAUCGUAAAACUCUGUUGUUAGAGAAGAACAAGUGCUAGAGUAACUGUUAGCGCCUUGACGGUAUCUAACCAGAAAGCCACGGCUAACUACGUGCCAGCAGCCGCGGUAAUACGUAGGUGGCAAGCGUUGUCCGGAUUUAUUGGGCGUAAAGCGAGCGCAGGCGGUUCCUUAAGUCUGAUGUGAAAGCCCCCGGCUCAACCGGGGAGGGUCAUUGGAAACUGGGGAACUUGAGUGCAGAAGAGGAGAGUGGAAUUCCAUGUGUAGCGGUGAAAUGCGUAGAUAUAUGGAGGAACACCGGUGGCGAAGGCGACUCUCUGGUC